CAUAAACUCUACUUUAUUUAGGUUGAAACUUGAUGCCUCUAUGUCCCCAUACAAUACAUUCAGUAUAUACAUUUGGCGAUGAGGGACUGUACAGAUAUGUUAUAGUAGUGCAUACAUACAUGGGAAGAAAAUGUACACAAAAGCACUAAAACCACUUGACCUCAGAGUGGCUAGAGAGACACAGAGUAAGUCAAUGGCUGAUGGCAAUGCGCACACACACACACCACUUCUCUGAGGGUGAGAAGGACUAUUUCAGGUUUCCACAGAGACAUUACAAAGUGAAGAGUGAGUCUGCUGAUUGAGACAAAGCUCCUCCUUUGCCUUCCAGAGUCCCCUCCCUUCCUCCCUCCUUCUAGCCAGGCGAGGGGUCUUCCUCUGGGCAGUGUGGACAACGUACUUGGGACCUUGCCUACAGUAACAUGCCUUUGUCAGCAGCACUGAAUAAAGAUCCUCCUCUUCUUUAUGUUUCAUCUCGAACACACAGGGACAUUCUUAAGACAUAUAGUUCAUUCGGAAAGUAUUUAGACCCCUUAACUUUUCCCACAUCUUGUUACGUUACAGCCUUAUUCUAAACUGGAUUACAACCCUCCCACCAAUCAAUCUACACACCAUACCCCAUAAUGACAAAGCAAAAACAAGUUUAGACAUUUUUGCAAAUGUAUGUAUAUAUAUGUAUAUAUAUAUAUAUAUAUAUAUGUGUAUAUAUAUAUAUGUGUAUAUAUAUAUAUAUAUAUAUAUAUAUAUGUGUAUAUAUAUAUAUGUGUAUAUAUAUAUAUAUAUGUGUAUAUAUAUAUAUAUAUAUGUAUCACAUUUACAUAAAUAUUCAGACCCUUUACUCAGUACAUCGUAGAAGCACCUUUGGCAGCAAUUACAGCCUCGAGUCUUCUUGGGUAUGACGCUACAAGCUUGGCACACCGGUAUUUGGGGAGUUUCUCCCAUUUUUCUCUGCAGAUCCUCUCAAGCCCUGUCGGGUUGGAUGGGGAGCGCCACUGCACAGCUAUUUUCAGGUCUCUCCAGAGAUGUUUCGAGGACAUUCAGAGACUUGUCCAGAAGCCACUCCUGCGUUGUCUUGGCCGUGUGCUUAGGGUCGUUGUCAUGUUUGAAGGUGAACCUUCACCCAGUCUGAGGUCCUGAACGCUCUGGAGCAGGUUUUCAUCAAGGAUCUCUCCCUACUUUGCUCCGUUCAUAUUUCCCUCGAUACUGACUAGUCUCUCAGUCCCUGCCACUGAAAAACAUCCCCACAGUAUGAUAAUGCCACCACCAUGCUUCACCAUGGGGAUGGUGCCAGGUUUCCUCCAGACGUGACGCUUGGCAUUCAGGCCAAAGAGUUAAAUCUUGGUUUUAUCAGACCAGAGAAUCUUGCUUCUCGUGGUCUGAGUGUCUUAGGUGCCUUUUGGCAAACACCAAGUGGGCUGUCAUGUGCCUUUUACUGAGGAGUGGCUUCCGCCUGGCCACUCUGCCACAAAGCCCUGAUUGGUGGAGUACUGCAUAGAUAGUUGUCCUUCCGGAAGGCUCUCCCAUCUACACAGAGGAACUCUGGAGCUCCGUCAGAGUGACCAUCAGGUUCUUGGUCACCUCCCUGACCAAGGCCCUUCUCCCCCGAUUGCUCAGUUUGGCCGGGCGGCCAGCUCUAGGAGUCUUGGUGGUUCCAAACUUGUUCCUUUUAAGAAUGGUGGAGGCCACUGUGUUCUUGGGUACCUUCAAUGCUGCAUACAUUGUUUGGUACCCUUCCCUAGAUCUGUGCCUUGACACAAUCCCUUCUUUGGAGCUCUACAGACAAUUCCUUAGACCUCAUGGCUUGGUUUUUUCUCUGACAUGCACUGUCAACUGUGGGACCUUACAUAGACACGUGUGUGCCUUUCAAAAUCAUGUCCAAUCAAUUGAAUUUACCACAGGUCGACUCCAAGUUGUAGAAACAUCUCAAGGAUGAUCAAUGGAAACAGGAUGCACCUGAGCUCAAUUUUGAGUCUCAUAGCAAACGGGUCUGAAUACUUAUGUGAAUGAGGUAUAAUUAUUAUUUUUUUAAAUACAUUUGCUAAAAUUAAAAAAAGAAGAAACUUUUCGCUUUGUCAUUAUGGGGUAUUGUGUGUGGAUUGACGUGUAGAAAAAUAUUUAAUACAUUUUAAAAUAAGGCUGAAACAAAC
rnacentral:lncRNA from 1 species